GAUGAACGCUAGCGGCAGGCUUAACACAUGCAAGUCGAGGGGUAUAUAGUUUUCGGAUUAUAGAGACCGGCAAACGGGUGCGGAACACGUACGCAAUCUGCCUCUGUCUUGGGGAUAGCCCAUGGAAAUGUGGAUUAAUACCCAAUAGUAUUAAUAGAGUGGCAUCACUUAGUAAUUAAAGAUUUAUUGGACAGAGAUGAGCGUGCGUCCCAUUAGCUAGUUGGUGCGGUAACGGCGUACCAAGGCGACGAUGGGUAGCUGGUGUGAGAGCACGACCAGCCACACGGGCACUGAGACACGGGCCCGACUCCUACGGGAGGCAGCAGUGAGGGAAUAUUGGUCAAUGGGCGGAAGCCUGAACCAGCCAUGCCGCGUGAAGGAUGAA
rnacentral:rRNA from 1 species